rnacentral:lncRNA from 1 species
AAUGAUCAGUCCGAUAAUUAGGUACGAGUUAAGUUCUUUUCUUUUCUAUUUUUUUUCAAUUGUCUUCAAAAAAAUUUUGUAAAUCCUUGUUAAUUAUUGGCAGGGCAAAUCACCAUCUCUUGGCAGGUGGACUAAAGGACUCUUCCGGUAUCUAAAGGAUAAAUCUUAAAAUUGAGCGCAGGCAUAUUCUUGGCUGGCCACAUGUCCUGCAUGUUGUGUUGUAAUUUCUUUGUUCUGUUGAUUGUAUCAAAUCUUGGGAAUUUUAUUUUUCGUUCCUCCGUUUAUUAUUUUCAUGAAUGCAAAUA